rnacentral:rRNA from 1 species
CUACGGGAUGCAGCAGUGGGGAAUUUUGGACAAUGGGCGCAAGCCUGAUCCAGCCAUUCCGCGUGAGUGAAGAAGGCCUUCGGGUUGUAAAGCUCUUUCGCAAGGGAAGAAAACUUAUCCUCUAACAUAGGGUGAGGUUGACGGUACCUUGAUAAGAAGCACCGGCUAACUACGUGCCAGCAGCCGCGGUAAUACGUAGGGUGCGAGCGUUAAUCGGAAUUACUGGGCGUAAAGCGUGCGCAGGCUGUUUUGUAAGUCAGAUGUGAAAUCCCCGAGCUCAACUUGGGAACUGCGUUUGAAACUACAAGACUAGAAUAUGUCAGAGGGGGGUAGAAUUCCAUGUGUAGCAGUGAAAUGCGUAGAGAUGUGGAGGAAUACCAAUGGCGAAGGCAGCCCCCUGGGAUAAUAUUGACGCUCAUGCACGAAAGCGUGGGGAGCAAACAGGAUUAGAUACCUGGUAGUC